UCAGGUAACUUCUCGCUUGGUUUUUGCAAUUUUUUUCUUUUAUUUGGAAUGGAGCAUAUGGAUUUCACUCAUGGAUUUAAGGUUGAUAUAUAUAGGUGCUUGUAAAUGCAAACCCAUGUUUACAUAUUGUAAAACUUCAAAACUAGCCCUCCUUGAUAAUCAAAUAUCACUUAUCUCGGGAAACAUGAACUUCAAAACUGUUCAAAUGGUAUUUUGAAUGUGACAGUACACACACACACACACAUAUGUAUGUAUUAUGUUUGACGUGGACUUCUGUUACCAUUCCAAUAAGUUUCAUCAUGUUUUGUUUCAUUGUACUUGAUUAUGACUUCAAUUUGACCUGAAAAAUCAACACAAUUAUCAAAACUAAAGCAUUUUAGUAUAUUUUGUAUCAUGAUAUCUUAUUACUGUUAUGAAAAAUAUGGUGCUUUGUCACUUGAUUCGUGAAUUUGACAUUAGAAUCACAGACAGAAGAGAAAGGGUAACUUAAUGUGACGUUUCAUGGCUUUCUGGCCCUUUUUUUUUUGGUUUCUUGUUUAAAUUUUAGAUUCGUUACUUUAUGGGUCUGAGAUGUGGAGGUAUCUUCGCUUUAUUUUUGCUAUCUAUUCUCGUAGAUGUUGUCUUCCUAUCUAACUGAUCAGUGUCUGGAUUUGUUAAUCAUGCAUCUUGAAUGCGCUUUACUUUCAGGAAUUGCUGAAAGCUUUAAUUGGUUUCAUAGAUGUUGCCGGGCUUAACUUUGCCUUGACCCAGUUGACUCACAGAAAUAUCUCUCAAAACCAUAAAUUUCAAGCUGUUGGACUUGGUGAGUAUGAAUUGAUCAUUUGAAUGGCCAAAUGAGACUGUUUUAUCUCUUCAGCUUGAUCUUUGAAUUUCUUCUCCUGUAUGUUUCUUGAAUUUUUUUUCAAUUUAUUUCAUAUCCCUUUGAAAUUAUGGCCUAAACUGCUGCUGAGAUUUACGUUGCUUGUGUACAAUUUUUAGACAUUCCCUUUGAUAUAUGCUUAGCUGUGAAACUAGGAGUGCAUUCUUUUCACUUGACCUUAGUUACAUAUAAAGUCUUCUUUGGCUGUGAAACAUCUUUUCCCAUUGCAGGGUGGGCUUUUGCUGAUUCUGUUUUACAUAGACUGGCACCUCUUUGGGUGGGAGCUCGAGGGCUAGAAUUCACUUGGGAUUACAUUCUGCAAGGCCUUGAAGCAAAUGCAAACCUGGUGCUGAGUAUAUCCCUUGCUGCAUUGGGAUCUCUGAUGUGGCUUCGCAAAAACAAACCCAAGACUUUGAUUCCCAUAAUAUAUGCAUGCGCAGCCAUUGUGGCAACAAUGCCAUCCAUCACAAAUUAUUUGAGAAGAGGAUUGGGGUGGCAUCUUCCAAAAGUGGUAGGCUUCGAACUAUUUACCUCUCUGAUGAUGGCUUUUAUUAGUUGGCAACUCUUUUCUGCAUGUCAAAGACCCUCAUCCUAAGAAAGUCCAGUACCAUCUCUAAGACCAGAGAGUUGGUUGGGGAUAGGCUCUUGGAACAUAUUGAAAAAAUCUAGCCAUUGGCUAUCAAUUCCGCCCCCUACAAGGCUGUUGGACUGUUUUUUCAAAAUUUUGUAGCAUCAUUGAUUUUGCCUAUAAAAAUUACUGAUUUGUAAUUUCACUUUCUGUGAUGUUCAGAGGAUUGAAUAGAUAGAUUUUCCUUUACCACAUGAUUCAAGUUUUUCUUGAAUGGAGGACAUAUGGAUAGGGUACUGAAGUGCUGUAAAGGAUAGCUAAGAGUGAUACGGCUCUUCGAGUACUUGAACGACUGCUAGGAUGUCCUACUACUAUUUAUCUGCAAGACAGCGCCGGUUUAGAGAGCUCAAAGGAGUCAGUUAAUUUGUGUUGUGUCACCUGCUAAAAGGGUUCGGUUAAUUUGCAUUGUGUCACCUUUCACAAGGGUCGAUUAAUUUGUAUUGUAUCAAGAGAUAUCAAAGCAUAUGCAAGACAUUUUCCAUUAAGAAGCAAGCUUAGCUAUGAAGUAGCAAUGCUUUUUAAUGAAGGAUGAAAUUUAUUAUCUUCUAGUACAAAUUAUACAAGAAGACCAUUGGUUAUGCAUCCCAAAGUAUUUAUUUCUACAUUAAAUGAAAAGACUUAUGAAACAACAAUGGUCUAGCCAUUAGGUACUUGCUUAGCUUUAAACAAAAAGGCUCACUCAGAUUCUUCAAAAAAUGCUUCAAUUCGGAGAAGUACAAAUCCAACAGCCACUCCAAUCAAAACAAGGACAUUCAUAAUGGCAGCAAUUUCAAAUAUCUCUCCUACUUUACUGCACUUAGAGGAGAGUGCACCACCACCUCUUCCUUUCCCAUUUGAUGAAGCUUUCAUUGAACUAACCACACUUGCAAAGCACCGCUCAGUGCAGACUGGCAUGCCUAAAUAGACCACACUGUUGUGGGCUUUGAGACCCCCAUAGGAAUUCAAUCCUCUUACGUACACCACCUUGUCCCUUCUCUUCUGGGUCUUGCUAUUGAAA
rnacentral:misc_RNA from 1 species